AGAGCUCCCUGCGGGUGUUUCUUUGGCUGGUCUUAGGUUCCCUAUUCCCUGCUGGACAUUCCCUGUCAUGCUGGACAUUCCCAGUGCUCUCCUGGACAUUCCCAGUUCCCCGCUGGACAUUCCCAGUGCCCUGCCCAGCCGGGAAUGCCGCCGAAUGAAUGCUGAUGGAUCCUCCCCCAUUGGCAGAUCCUGCUCCAGGCCACUGUGUUCGCCCGCAUGCUGCCCGAGCAGAAGACCCAGCUGGUGUGCAGCCUGCAGGAGCUCAAUUACUGCGUGGGGAUGUGCGGGGAUGGUGCCAACGACUGCGGGGCGCUGCGGGCAGCCGAUGUCGGCAUCUCCCUGUCCGAGGCCGAGGCAUCGGUGGCCUCGCCUUUCACCUCGCGUGUGGCCACCAUCGAGUGCGUGCCCAGAGUCAUCCGRGAGGGCCGGUGCUCCUUGGUCACCUCCUUUGGGGUCUUCAAGUAUAUGGCCCUGUACAGCCUGGUCCAGUUCGUGUCCGUGCUCCUGCUCUACACCAUCAACACCAACCUGAGCGAUUUCCAGUUCCUGUUCUUCGACCUGGUGAUCACCACCACGGUGGCCGUGCUGAUGGGGCGCACGGG
rnacentral:lncRNA from 1 species